UGAAGUAUGCCCAAAGUCAGACUGCUCUGUGGUGUCCAGUCCACGCAGCUCCCCGCUCUCUACCCACCCUCCUGGAGGAGUAACUAAAACACACAGCUCACCAGUCCACCAUCUUCAAACUAUUGUAUUCUGAAACGUCAACCUUUACAGGAGAUUGCCCCAAAAACAUCACAACUGGGUUUAUAUAAAAGCAUUAAGUUGAAAACAUCUUCAUAAAUCUUAAAAUUACAUUACAGUAUUCAGUAAUCACCAAGAUUACCAUUUUGUCAUAUCACAUCAUUGCUAAGCAUUGCUUCCCCUUUUUAGUCAAGCAAUUCCCAAUUAAGUAACAAAAACAUCACUAACCCACCCACUCUCUUGGCAAAAGCUAAACAUCAUUCUUUUGGGGAGGAUGGGGAUAAAUCAGGGCAUAAGGGAUGAAUCACCUUUGUCCUUUCCAGAACAUACCAGCAAAGUUCCGAAAUCCUUGUGUUCAUUGAUAAAAAACCAUGCUCAGCUAAACAACUCCUAGGUAUAGCUAACGUGCCUAUAUUGGCUGAAAACCACCAGUGUAUACUAUUGACAUGGUAGUUAUUCCAGACCAAGCUAUUGAAAGUCAGCAGAGCUAUCUGAUCAUCCUGUUUUCCAGUUUGGGGGUUCUGCAACAUCCAGGCCUCUUACACCACCCUCAGGCAUCUCCACUGUCAACUUCCUGCUGCAUUCGUUACCCAGUGUUCCAUUCUGCAGGGGCAAAUGUUCCUGUGGCCUCUACUGAGAUCAAAGGCAACAGCAAGUUUGAACAGAUAUAAUGUAAAAAAAAAGGAGGCUGAAAGCAGAACUUAAGAAUAUGUGCUUUUGUACUUUUUUAAAUGUGCUUUUCCACUUUUUUUCCUUUCUAGAAGAGUCAGCAAACUGUAUUUCCUAUUUUGUAUAAAUAAAAAUGUCUUUUGAGAAAUCUGCUUCCUCUUUAAGAUAUUGUAUAUCAAAAGGUGAUAGAGUAGGAAAAAAAGUGAAACAGAAAAAUAAGUGGUAUCAGCAUUAACCAGAGGGAAAGAAAUGAGAUAGAAAAGAUUAAAAUAAAAUGCUUUCCUUGCUUUUAAAAAAGUAAAUAAUGUAUAAAAUUCAUUGCACAAUGGCUCCAAUUUUCCACUUCUCUCUGUAUGCAUGUCCUCUCCAGUGUGUUUUGCAGCUCCUUCCAUCAAGAGGAGGAAUGUACCUGCCGGCUCCUUCAAUCUGGGCUGUUGUUGCGAUUGGCCAAUAGAAGGCAGCGGAAGUGAUGUGGGAGUUCCAGAGUCUAGGCAUCGAGAGACUCAGUAUUUUUCUGUUCUGUCUUUGCUCCUCUGCCUUUUCCAUGAGACUAUGCCCAGGCUAGCCUGCUGCAGGAUGAAACAUGUGGAGAAGAGCAGAAUCAGUCUAGUUGUCCCAGCAAAGAUGUCAAACAUGUGAGAGAGUGCCCAGCCAAGACUAGCAAAGCUGCCUGGCCAACCCACAGAUGAAUGCCAACAAAUGAACCCAGCUGAACCCAGCUCAGAUCAACAGAUCCACCCAGCUGACUUAUUUUUAAUCCAUUGAUGAUUUUUGCCUGAAACAAACUGUACUAUGAUGCUAAGAUGACUGUCAAGUGAUGAAUUUUCUAACUCCAGCAUUCCCUGCACAUUUACCAGUCAUCACUCAGCCUCUGCUGAGAGUGAAUGAAGAGCAACAAAUGGGAUUUAUGAAAUGCAGUGUUGAAAAUUAAAUAUGAUGACACUGAACAUCCAGAAUGCUACAAAUACAAUCGAAGGAAUUAUCUUGGACCAUUAUGCAACUAUUUUGUGUAUGUUUGGAAGUACCUACAUUUGUGAUCAGCUGUUUGCUUGAGACAAAACUGAAUAUAACUACAUAUUGCUCCCGAUUAAAGAAGAGUAAGCUAAAUUCUUUACAUUACAAGGGGAAAUACAAGACCUUGACAUUGACAUCUUGGGGCUGAGGAGAAAAUGCUGUUUGAUUCCACAUGAAAGGAGUAAAAAACU